CCCCAGCUUGUUGUGUCCACCCAGCCAAGGAUGUCUACACCAAUCCCCGGAUCCGGUCCCAGAAAUGUGAUUUUAC